rnacentral:tRNA from 3 species
GGGCGAUUAGCACAGUGGUAGCGCGCUUCCUUCACACGGAAGAGGUCACAGGUUCGAACCCCGUAUCGCCCA